rnacentral:rRNA from 1 species
UUCGUCAUCGUAGGGUUAGUCGGGUCCUAAGCCAAGUCCGAAAGGGGUAGGCGAUGGAAAAUAGGUUAAUAUUCCUAUACCAAUUAGGGUGUGCGAUGGGAGGACGCAUAAAGUUAGGUGAGCCAACGGAUGGAAGUGUUGGUCUAAGAGCGUAGAUUGGGAGAGAGGCAAAUCCGCUCCUGUAUUCGAAACUUGAACAGGCUCUUUGAGGUCUUUUAGACCAAGAAGAGAAUCACUGAUACUAUCGUGCCAAGAAAAGUCUCUAAGUUUAGCCCUAAUUGUCCGUACCGCAAACCGACACAGGUAGAUGAGAUGAGUAUUCUAAGGCGCGUGGAAGAACUCUCUUUAAGGAACUCUGCAAACUAGCACCGUAAGUUCGCGAUAAGGUGUGCCUACGCAAGUAGGUCUCAGCAAAGAGUCCCUCCCGACUGUUUACCAAAAACACAGCACUUUGCCAACUCGUAAGAGGAAGUAUAAGGUGUGACGCCUGCCCGGUGCUCGAAGGUUAAGAGGAUGGGUUAGCCGCAAGGCGAAGCUUUGAAUUGAAGCCCGAGUAAACGGCGGCCGUAACUAUAACGGUCCUAAGGUAGCGAAAUUCCUUGUCGGUUAAAUACCGACCUGCAUGAAUGGCGUAACGAGAUGGGAGCUGUCUCAAAGAGAGAUCCAGUGAAAUUGUAGUGGAGGUGAAAAUUCCUCCUACCCGCAGCAAGACGGAAAGACCCCGUGGACCUUUACUACAGCUUAGCACUGCUAAUGGGAAUGCCAUGCGCAGGAUAGGUGGGAGGCUUUGAAGCAGAUACUUUGGUGUCUGUGGAGCCAUCCUUGAGAUACCACCCUUGGCGUUUUUGUUAGCUAACUGGCCUAAGUCAUCCUUAGGCAGGACAAUGCUUGGUGGGUAGUUUGACUGGGGCGGUCGCCUCCUAAAAAGUAACGGAGGCUUACAAAGGUUAGCUCAUGGCGGUUGGAAAUCGCCAGUUGAGUGUAAUGGCACAAGCUAGCUUAACUGCAAGAGAGACAACUCAAGCAGAGACGAAAGUCGGUCAUAGUGAUCCGGUGGUUCUCGUGUGGGAGAGCCAUCGCUCAAAGGAUAAAAGGUACCCCGGGGAUAACAGGCUGAUCUCCCCCAAGAGCUCACAUCGACGGGGAGGUUUGGCACCUCGAUGUCGGCUCAUCGCAUCCUGGGGCUGGAGCAGGUCCCAAGGGUAUGGCUGUUCGCCAUUUAAAGCGGUACGCGAGCUGGGUUCAGAACGUCGUGAGACAGUUCGGUCCCUAUCUGCUGUGGGCGUAGGAAAGCUGAGGAGAGCUGUCCCUAGUACGAGAGGACCGGGAUGGACAUGCCACUGGUGCACCAGUUGUUCUGCCAAGAGCACCGCUGGGUAGCUACGCAUGGUUGUGAUAAGAGCUGAAAGCAUCUAAGCUCGAAGCCAACUCCAAGAUAAGCUUUCCCUGAAGCUCGCAUGAAGACUACAUGUUUGAUAGGGUGGGUGUGUAAGUGCAGUAAUGCAUUUAGCUAACCACUACUAAUAGAGCGUUUGGCUUGUUU